ACGAACUUGGGUGCAAUGGUCGGUGUAAGUCGGAGGGGGCGAGUGUGAAUCAGACGUACUGUGCGGUAAGUGGUCGCGGGCGGCAGAGCAAGUCAGUGGUGAAAGCCCCGGGCUGAACGUGGGAAUUGCGCUCGAAACGACUGUGCUGGAGUGUGGCAGAGGAAAGUGGAAUUCCACGUGUAGCGGUGAAAUGCGUAGAGAAGUGGAGGAACACCAAUGUCGAAGGCAGCCUUCUGGGCCAACACUGACGCUCAUGCACGAAAGCGUGGGGAGCAAACAGGAUUAGAUACCCCUGUAGUC
rnacentral:rRNA from 1 species